UCUGUCUGUAGCCCCACUGUGGGGUGUCUGGAUUGCCACUUGCAGUUGGGUGGGGCCAUGUGACCAGUUCUGCCAAGUGAGCAGUGAGUGGCAGUGACACACAGAAGAAUAUUGAAGAGUGGUGUGCCAUCUUCCAGCUUUCUCUUCUGCAGCUGCAAUCCUGGAGGCCAUGUGUUGAGACAGCAGAACCGCACAAUGGAGUAACCUGGAUUGCUGAGUCAGCACAUGGAGGACAGCUGUCUUUAGAAACUUGCUUGAUGGUGCAUGAGUGGGAA
rnacentral:lncRNA from 1 species